CUCUCCCAAAGGAAAUCACAAGACAAACAGUUAAGACAAUCUGACUCCAUCCAGUAAAAGCCAAGUCAAAUAUUCUCUGUGACCAGUGAUGCAGGGCUGCGUUUGUGGCCAGACAGCCUGUGCCUUUAAAUUUUUCAUCUUCCUUCAUAAUUUGACCUGUCCCCCAGCCAGGGGCGCGGAGCCAGCGUAGCUAUUUUUAGGUUGUGAGCUCUGACGACUGGGAUACAGAGACAGAGUUUUACUGUGUUGUUUCAGCUGGACAAACAUUUAACCCCUCAAUCCUUUCAUCACAGCACAACCAAGAAGCCAAGAAGGAAACGUACGGCUUCCAGACUCACCCUAGACACAAAACAACCCAGAGGCAAAUGUAUAUGUGACUGUUGUCAUUACAAAACAACAGACCGGCAAUACGUUCAUCCACAACAAAAACACCAACACAACACUGCAAUGAAGCAACGAAGCCCUGAAGUCCACAGUAAUGAUGGCUAAAGAACCAGAGCGCCAUCUGUCACAAUAUCUGCCAGACCAGGCGGCUCUGACCCUGCAGUCUGGCCUCGUCUCAGGAUGAGACACAAGUCCUCAAAAGAAGAAGUAAGACUGUCACAUGAAUGGCAAUUACCGUGACAGUGGAAUCUCUUUUUUAAUGGCACAGCAAUGGUAUUGCUUAUGCUAAAAUUAAAGUUUUGCAACUUUGCAAUG